rnacentral:rRNA from 1 species
UACGGGGGGGGCAAGCGUUGUUCGGAAUUACUGGGCGUAAAGGGCUCGUAGGCGGCCAACUAAGUCGGAUGUGAAAUCCCCAGGCUCAACUUGGGAACUGCAUCCGAUACUGGAUGGCUUGAAUUCGGGAGAGGGAUGCAGAAUUCCAGGUGUAGCGGUGAAAUGCGUAGAUAUCUGGAGGAAUACCGGUGGCGAAGGCGGCAUCCUGGACCGGCAUUGACGCUGAUGAGCGAAAGCCAGGGGAGCAAACGGG